GAUGAAGAACGUAGCGAAAUGCGAUAAGUAAUGUGAAUUGCAGAAUUCCGUGAAUCAUCGAAUCUUUGAACGCACAUUGCGCCCUCUGGUAUUCCGGGGGGCAUGCCUGUCCGAGCGUCAUUACAACCCUCAAGCUCAGCUUGGUGUUGGGCCCCGCCGCCCCGGCGGGCCCUAAAGUCAGUGGCGGUGCCGUCCGGCUCCGAGCGUAGUAAUUCUUCUCGCUCUGGAGGUCCGGUCGUGUGCUCGCCAGCAACCCCCAAUUUUUUUCAGGUUGACCUCGGAUCAGGUAGGGAUACCCGCUGAACUUAAGCAUAUCAAUAAGCGGAGGA
rnacentral:misc_RNA from 1 species